rnacentral:rRNA from 1 species
UGGGGAAUUUUGGACAAUGGGCGAAAGCCUGAUCCAGCAAUGCCGCGUGUGUGAAGAAGGCCUUCGGGUUGUAAAGCACUUUUGUCCGGAAAGAAAUCCUUGGCUCUAAUACAGUCGGGGGAUGACGGUACCGGAAGAAUAAGCACCGGCUAACUACGUGCCAGCAGCCGCGGUAAUACGUAGGGUGCAAGCGUUAAUCGGAAUUACUGGGCGUAAAGCGUGCGCAGGCGGUUUGCUAAGACCGAUGUGAAAUCCCCGGGCUCAACCUGGGAACUGCAUUGGUGACUGGCAGGCUAGAGUAUGGCAGAGGGGGGUAGAAUUCCACGUGUAGCAGUGAAAUGCGUAGAGAUGUGGAGGAAUACCGAUGGCGAAGGCAGCCCCCUGGGCCAAUACUGACGCUCAUGCACGAAAAGCGUGGGGAGCAAAACAGGAUUAGAUACCCUGGUAGUCCACGCCCUAAACGAUGUCAACUAGUUGUUGGGGAUUCAUUUCCUUAGUAACGUAGCUAACGCGUGAAGUUGACCGCCUGGGGAGUACGGUCGCAAGAUUAAAACUCAAAGGAAUUGACGGGGUCAUAGCUG